rnacentral:rRNA from 1 species
ACACACACACACACAUACAGAUGGUUAGGCAUAUUACAUAUAUAAAAUACAACUUUCAACAAUGGAUCUCUUGGCUCUCGCAUCGAUGAAGAACACAGCGAAAUGUGAUAAGUAAUGUGAAUUGCAGAAUCCAGUGAAUCAUCGAAUCUUUGAACGCAUCUUGCGCUCCUUGGUAUUCCAAGGAGCAUGCCUGUUUGAGUGUCGUUAAACUAUCAAAACAUUUUUCUUGGGUGUUUUGGACUUUGGGAGUGUUUUGCUGGUCUGUUUCAGCCAGCUCUCCUCAAAAGCAUUAGCUUUGAAGACCAUCAGUGUGAUAAUUUGUUUACGCUGACUUGAGUGUCUCAGCUUCUCCUUUUAAAAUAACCCUUUGACCUCAAAUCAGGUAGGACUACCCGCUGAACUUAAGCAUAUCAAUAAGCGGAGGAAAAGAAACUAACAAGGAUUCCCCUAGUAANNGCGAGUGAAGCGGGAAAAGCUCAAAUUUGAAAUCUGGCAGUC